GUGCUCACUUUGGCAGCACAUGUACUAAAACUGGAACAAUACAGAGAAGAUUGGCACAAGGUUCUGCACAAGGAUGACAUGCAAAUUUGUGAAGAAUUUCAUAUUUUU